CCUACGGGAGGCAGCAGUGGGGAAUAUUGGGCAAUGGGCGCAAGCCUGACCCAGCAACGCCGCGUGAAGGAAGAAGGCUUUCGGGUUGUAAACUUCUUUUGUCCGGGAAGAGUAGAAGACGGUACCUGACGAAUAAGACACGGCUAACUACGUGCCAGCAGCCGCGGUAAUACGUAGAUGGCAUUAGUUGUCCGGCUUUACUGGGUGUAAAGGGCGUGUUGCCGGGUUGACGAGUCAGAUGGUAAAUCCUGCGGCUUAACCGGAGAACUGCGUUUGAAACUGUGGAUCUUGAGUACUGGAGAGGCAGACGGAAUGCGUGGUGUAGCGGUGAAAUGCAUAGAUAUCA
rnacentral:rRNA from 1 species